UUUAAUUUGGCAGAUAAAUGCACUUGACUUAGAAUCAACAUAUAACUUAUUGUUAAUUUCAAA
rnacentral:tRNA from 1 species